rnacentral:rRNA from 1 species
AACGAACGCUGGCGGCAGGCCUAACACAUGCAAGUCGAGCGCUGUAGCAAUACAGAGCGGCGCAUGGGAUAAUAACGCGUGGGAACCUACCUUAUGGUUCGGAAUAACAUCGGGAAACUGGUGCUAAUACCGGAUAAGCCCUUCGGGGGAAAGAUUUAUUGCCAUUAGAUGGGGCCGCGUUAGAUUAGCUAGUUGGUGAGGUAACGGCUCACCAAGGCGACGAUCUAUAGCUGGUCUGGGAGGAUGAUCAGCAUCACUGGGACUGAGACACGGCCCAGACUCCUACGGGAGGCAGCAGUGGGGAAUAUUGGACAAUGGGGGAAACCCUGAUCCAGCCAUGCCGCGUGAAUGAUGAAGGCCUUCGGGUUGUAAAGUUCUUUUGACGGGGACGAUGAUGACGGUACCCGUAGAAUAAGCUCCGGCUAACUUCGUGCCAGCCGCCGCGGUAA